rnacentral:rRNA from 1 species
CCUACGGGAGGCAGCAGUCGAGAAUCAUUCACAAUGGGGGAAACCCUGAUGGUGCGACGCCGCGUGGGGGAAUGAAGGUCUUCGGAUUGUAAACCCCUGUCAUGUGGGAGCAAAUUAAAAAGAUAGUACCACACGAGGAAGAGACGGCUAACUCUGUGCCAGCAGCCGCGGUAAUACAGAGGUCUCAAGCGUUGUUCGGAAUCACUGGGCGUAAAGCGUGCGUAGGCUGUUUCGUAAGUCGUGUGUGAAAGGCGCGGGCUCAACCCGCGGAUGGCACAUGAUACUGCGAGACUAGAGUAAUGGAGGGGGAACCGGAAUUCUCGGUGUAGCAGUGAAAUGCGUAGAUAUCGAGAGGAACACUCGUGGCGAAGGCGGGUUCCUGGACAUUAACUGACGCUGAGGCACGAAGGCCAGGGGAGCGAAAGGGAUUAGAUACCCGAGUAGUC